UUUUAUCAUUCAACUCACUAAUAAAAUACACCUUUUAUUGUAUUUUUUGUCUGAAGAAAUUUAAAAAGUUCUCUGUAACAAAAUAUUGUCUAUAUCUGGGAUACCUGGUUUAUUCAUUAGUUGAAAUUGGCUUUGAACAAGCUUUUAAUAACUAUAAGUACCGUACUUAAAUUGGUACUGGUGUCUGGUGUCUUUUCGUUAGUUGUUUUGUGUGCUAUGUGCUGGUCUGAUGGGUUAAACCCUUUCCAAAUGAUUCUUUUUUUUGUUCCUAUGUACCAUAAUGCUUUUAUUCCACUGUCUAAAGGUACGAGAGUUAAGGCCUUGUGACAUGUUUACUGUCUAAAGAUAUGAGAGUUAAGGCCUUGUGACAUGCUAAACCCCACAAAAUUUUUUGAUAUGCCUGUCCAAAAUUAGGAGCCUGAAAUGUUUUGACCAUAAAUCAGGUCAUUCCCUUUCUCUUCAAUUGUUUCUCAUUUUGUUAUGUUGAGGGUUUUUAUAGCUUACUAAAUGGUAUGGGUUUUACUAAUUGGCCGUUUCAAAAUCAAAUGCAUUCUGUGUAAUAUUUUCACAAGCGUACACCAAAACAUUGUGAUUGGUUAAAAACGUUCAAAACAAUUAAAGUUCAACCAAUGACAUAACGUUAUUUUUAUUUUGGUGUACGAACAAUGAGAUUACCCAUAGUCCUUCAGAUUCUGAAAAGGCGAAUUAUCUGAGGCCGUCUUGUAACCUUUAGUUGUUUACAUACUUGUUCUUUGGUGUAUGGUAGAUCAAUUGUACAACAAAUUAUCGUUUUUCAUAUCACCAAAAAGGGGUAAGCAUCGUGUACCAAUACUAUCCAUUAAAAGUUAAAACCAUUGUAAAAUGUCAGUAAUACUUGAACAUAGUCUUUCCUACAUAAUGCAUUUGUGCCCUUCCUAUUUUUGUUUUUGAAUGAGUGAUUUUCAGGGUUUUCCUUUGUCAAGCAUGGACUUCACCAAACCUAUACAAAUAAAGUAGGGCAUUGAAAUUGUAAUUUGUAGCUCUUCUUAAAAAAAUCUAGAUUGGAAUGAAAUGUGAGCUCUGUUGGUUUGUACCAACUUUGGUUGUGUAGUUGCAUUUGAUGAUUGUAUCUAGCAUAUCUAUAUAAGAUUGUAAAUAGUUUUAGUUUUUUUAUUUAUUUGUUUUGGCCUCAAUAUUAUUUUUGUUGCAAUGAAUUGUAUUUAGUAUGUAAUACCUAAUAUUAAUCAGGGCUUUCAGUUUCAAGUCCGAUAACAGUGAUAAGAAUUAAAAAAUAUUUUUUUUUACAACAGAGCAUAUUUUACUUGUUUAGGGUAGAGAUUCUAAUAUAUGUUUUAGAAGUGAAGUUGUAUGACUUAUAUGGUCAUGAGAAAUCUAAUGCAGGGUUUAUACAGGUUCCUGAAAUCCUUUGAAAAUGAAAUCAUGAAUUUCUGCCAAAUAAAGAAUACUAAAAAUAUCCUUUUCAUACUUUUAAUAAUUUUGCACUCUCUGACGGAUAUUUAUGUAUUAUAAAUCCUAAUUUUAUCUUCACUGUCCUGUUCUUUUACAUGUGAAUUCUAACUUUAUAGAAAGAAAUAAUAAAAUUUUAUUGGAAAUAGUUUGAACUACCAGACAAUACAUAUUUUCAUCACUAGGAUUUAAAUUUUUGUACAUCAAAAUUCAUUAAUGGGUGUUUGUUUUUAAAAGGAAAAAAUUAAAGUUCCCAUUGGAUGAUUUUCUCAGAGUACAAUGGCUAUUGUUUUAUCCAAUGGGACAGUUCAUCUUCCAAAAAUUUACCCUGACCUAAACCACUUGAUUCUCAUAAUUUUUUUUCUCUUUGGAAUUAAUUAUCAUUCGUCUAUGAAAGCAAUCUUUCCCAGAGUGCUAACGCAUACUUUGAAUUUGUAUUGCUACCCGUUUUUGAUUUGAACAAUUCAAGUUUUUAAAGAUAAUUUUUAUCUACAUUUUAGUAUAUAUGUAACUGUUGUAUUGGUGAUUGAUUUAAGGUGCUAUUUCUGCUUUUCAUUUGUACUCUAGAACAUUUUCAUCUAGAGUCUACAUGUGUAUUUGAGUUAUUUAGUGCUUUGAGAAUGUAUGAUGAAGUAUUCCAUAUAAAGAUUGAAAAAAAAAUGUUUCAUUUCUCAUGGCUCAGAGGGCAGAGUUAGCAAUUGCAAUCACUAUUGUUAUUUGCUCUUCAAAAAUAAUGUUCAAAACUUUAGGUCAAUUUGCACUGUGUGUUUUUACCCAACCCAAUACAAUAUCCUAAAUAGCAAUCUGUUUAUAGGACUCUUUAUUCAGUCUUGUCGUUUACAAAGGUCACAAACCAAAAAAUCAUUAACACUUCUCAUAUCCCUCCACUAAAAAUAUGGUUUUGGGGUUCAAACUUUUUCAUUUACCAAAUUCAUGCAACAUACUGUUUUGAUGAUAGUAUUUUAAGGGAUCAAACAAGAAACACCAAUACUACAUGAUUUAUUAUGUGCUAUUGGUCAAAAUUAAACGCUAUAUAACCAGGUUUCAUGGGUAAAUAUUUUUUGAUAUUUGCAUAAGACUGUUCCACUCAUUAUAGUUGACAUUGUUAUUGUUUUCUUGAUGUUUAUUUCAUUAUGAGUUAUAAGGAUACAUGUUUUUAUAAAGUAGAAAUUACCAAGUGUUUACUGGUUGUUUUUGAAUGAUCCCAAUAUUUAAAUCUUCAGAAGGCAUGAUGAAUGGAGAUGCAUAAUAAAAGGAGUAUAAUAAAAUGACCAUCAUAAAUUGUAUUUUGUAUUGUUUGACUCUGCCAUCAUAACUAGUGUAAAACACUUGUGUACCCAACAUUUAGUCAGUCUGAGAUUCAAACUAGUUCAUUUUUUCUGCCAACAGAUCAGUUCAAUGAUAUUUUAUCCCAGAGUUAUUACUAUAUCAAAAGUAAAAUAACAAAAAUACCAAACUCUUAGGAAAAUUCAAAACAGAAAGUC
rnacentral:lncRNA from 1 species